CUUGGCUCGGGAGUCGGGCCCUGGACUCUCAUUAGCAUUUAAAGGCGCCCGGUGCGCUUUCUAUGGCUCCAAUCCGCCGGGACGCGAGCGCGCGGGUCGCGUUGCAGAACCAAGGAAAGCCAGGGUGAACGGGGCGCCCGGGUUGUCUUCUGGAGCGUUCCGAGGAGCCCGCGCUGCUGACCCUUUGUUGGAGCGGGGUGCAUUGGCUCUCCUCCCUCAACCCGUCUUGACACCCGCAGCUGACAAGGAGAGAAUUACAUUACAAGAAAAAAAAGUAAGGAGAUUGAACUCUUCAAACCGAUCCAACAGUAAAGCCUUUUAAAAAAAUUCAUCCUUGGAAGUAAUUCAUAACUAACAGGUGUGAUCUCCAACCUCUGGAAGACCCUAAAAUAAUUACAGAUGCACCCUGGGAUUUCCUAGAAUUUGUGCUGGACUGGCUUCCAAAACUACUCAUCAUUGUCAUCCAAACAAAGCAGUGAGCAGCUGGAAGUUGUUGGUAUUGUACUAAAUAAAUCUAAAGAAAAUUAGAACAAAUAUGAUCUAUGUUUUAAUAAUCAUAAGUAGGAAGCAACUUGGAUACAGAUACACAUAAAUUUAUCCAUUCCUUCAUUCACUAAUUCAUACACUCAUAUUUGCUAAGCAAAUGCUAUGUCCCGGACAAAGUACACCAUUGUGAGUAUCCAAUGUUGACCAAAAUGGAGCCGGUUGUAAGGUCUUUUGAUAUGAUGUUAAAAUUAUUUUUCACUAUCAACAUUUCUAUUGUAAGACAAUAUCAUCAUUUACUAAGUUUAAGAGUAAGUCAACAAAGAAUUAUAAUCUAAUUGCUGACAGCAGUCAUUUUUAAGCAAUUAUUGGUUUGAUCAUAAAAACAAAUGCCACUCUGUUCCUAGUAUGGAGGAAGUUAAAGCUCUCACAACUGUUGGAAGGGCUGAAGGAGGGAAACUCAGAGAAGCUCCACUGAAGAUCUCAGCCUCCAGUCCCCAAGACAGUGGUUCUCAGGAGUUCUCCUGAAGCCACUGGAGCCACAAGAUCUUUCGGAAGUUCUCAGCAAUUCAGGGCUGGAUUCAGGUUUUGUGAUGCUUAAAACUAAUACAAUUUAGAGAGCCCUUUUUGAGAUAAAAUAAAGUUAUGAAUACUAAAAUGCUAGGACUGCUCCCAGAGUCUUCGAAAGGGUCCGUGCAAGACAGGAGCCCUGAAAUUUAAACUUCAUUAGCUUUACUCCUGCACCUGCUAUCUCAGUCAGCAACACCGAUGCAGUAAGUCCUCAAGAAGUUCAUCUGGAAGCAGCUUUGAUGCCGAUGCAUCUUUCUAUAACUGACUCUGGUAUAUAAUGGUCUUCUCUUCUUCCUU
rnacentral:lncRNA from 1 species